AUUCUUUUACAGUUCAUAAACGUGCAUACUGGGUGUUCACACUGUUAUGUGACAUAUGCCUCCUUCAAACCUUGUUAUGACCUCAGCACAUUACCCAUCUGAUG